CCUACGGGUGGCAGCAGUGAGGAAUAUUGGUCAAUGGUCGGGAGACUGAACCAGCCAUGCCGCGUGCAGGAAGACGGCCCUAUGAGUUGUAAACUGCUUUUGUACGAGGGUAAAUCCCGAUACGUGUAUCGGGUUGAAAGUAUCGUACGAAUAAGGAUCGGCUAACUCCGUGCCAGCAGCCGCGGUAAUACGGAGGAUUCAAGCGUUAUCCGGAUUUAUUGGGGUUAAAGGGUGCGGCGGCGGUUCGAUAAGUUAGCGGUGAAAUCCCGGGGCUCAACUCCGGCACUGCCUCUGAUACUGUCGGGCUAGAGUGUAGUUGCGGUAGGCGGAAUGUAUGGUGUAGCGGUGAAAUGCAUAGAGAUCAUACAGAACACCGAUUGCGAAGGCAGCUUACCAAAGUGCGACUGACGUUGAGGCACGAAAGCGUGGGGAGCAAACAGGAUUAGAUACCCCUGUAGUC
rnacentral:rRNA from 1 species